rnacentral:tRNA from 1 species
AGCUAAUUAACUUAACCCCCAAAGUAUGUGUCUUGAAAACACAUUAUAGAAAAUAAUUCUUCUAUUAGCUU